CUCCUUUAAUCUGAUUUCUGAUUCGGCAU
rnacentral:piRNA from 1 species